rnacentral:rRNA from 1 species
GACGAACGCUGGCGGCGUGCUUAACACAUGCAAGUCGAACGGAAAGGCUCCUUCGGGGGUACUCGAGUGGCGAACGGGUGAGUAACACGUGGGUGAUCUGCCCUGCACUUCGGGAUAAGCUUGGGAAACUGGGUCUAAUACCGGAUAGGACUCCAAGAUGCAUGUUUUGGGGUGGAAAGUUUUUAACGGUGUGGGAUGGGCCCGCGGCCUAUCAGCUUGUUGGUGGGGUGAUGGCCUACCAAGGCGACGACGGGUAGCCGGCCUGAGAGGGUGUCCGGCCACACUGGGACUGAGAUACGGCCCAGACUCCUACGGGAGGCAGCAGUGGGGAAUAUUGCACAAUGGGCGCAAGCCUGAUGCAGCGACGCCGCGUGGGGGAUGACGGCCUUCGGGUUGUAAACCUCUUUCACCAUCGACGAAGCUGCCCUUUGUGGGGUGGUGACGGUAGGUGGAGAAGAAGCACCGGCCAACUACGUGCCAGCCGCCGCCGUAACAC